rnacentral:lncRNA from 1 species
AAUUUGAUUUCUCUGUAAGGAAGGAUAAUAUAUUAAAUUACAUAUUUUGAAGAUUGAGAUUUGGAGAUGUAUGUUUAAUUAGCGAAGCGCGCGAAGGUUAAAGAGUAAUAAUCUGUGUGUUCUAUAUAUGAUGGCUGUUAAAGAUAUACCUUCUUUUUUAUUGGUUUGGUUCAUACAUCGGGUUUAUGAAAAAAAAUAAAUAAAUAGGAUCUCAUAAGGAUUUAUUUUUGGUGGAUCCUACUUUAAAUUGGAAUCGUAGGUGGACUAGGAUUGGUUUCCAUAUAACACUCUAUAUUCAAUAAUCAUAUUGAAUUAGAGUAGGAUUGAGCCAAAUCCCUCUCUAUAUAUACAUGCAUAUGCAUGUACGGCUUGGUGAGGCGCGUGGAUAAAUUAAUUAGCAUUCAUGGUCCGGCUAAUUAAUACACGGUGUCUCCUGUGGCCAUACGGAAGAGGCUGAGGAAGAGGCUUAAUUAAUUAGCCAUAGUGGACCGUACGGCUUCGGGUGCAUAGAAGCAAAUUAAUUAGCAUAAGGUGUAUUGGCUAAUUAAUUAACAUAGCACCAUCCGUACGGCAUAAGAAGGCUGCACCUUUGCAUGCGACGUCGGAUCAGCAGGAGCAACGGUUCUCGACCAAUUACUUGAGCGGUUCGGAUUCUUCGAAACAACGGCAUAAAGGAAUUUGGUUAGAGUUUCUAUACUUCUCUAAUUUGGUCUUCUCGGUUUUACGAAAAACUUUUUCGGUAUUUUCUUGGAGUUUUCGUUGGAGAAGAAAGGUGGGAUUCACUAUAAGGUUCUUGAUUUUUUAGCCGGAGAAGACAUAAGGUGUAAGCUUGUACUUUUAUUUCUUCAUAUAGUGGAAUACAUCUCUCUCGCUCUCCCCGUGGACGUAGGCAAUUGCCGAACCACGUAAAUCUUGGUUUCUUCUUUCUGCAUUUAUUUCUUUUACCAUUCGGUCGAUUUUUUCUAUUUUUCGUGCAUCUUUGUUGGUAGCACAUGACGGACGAUCCAUCCGUGCUAUCAGAGCGUAAGGUUCGUGCUACAUCAGAUAUGUCGAAAGUCUCGUCUUCUAAGUUUGAGGUGGAGAAAUUUGACGGUAAAGAAACUUCGGUCUGUGGCAGAAAAGAGUGAACGCCCUUCUGGUUCAACAGGGCCUUCAUAAGGCGUUGCUCGGAAAAUCGAAAAAGCCGACAUCGAUGAGCGACGAAGAUUGGGAGGAUAUUGAUCUGCGGGCGGUGAAUACAAUUAUAUUAUGUCUAGUAGAUGAGGUGAUGUAUAACGUAACGGAUGAAGAAACUACAGUCGGCAUGUGGGACAAGCUAGAGAAGCUGUACAUGACCAAAAGCCUCUCGAACGUGCUGUACCUAAAGCAAAAAUUAUAUGGGCUACGCAUGAAGGAAGGUACGGCAAUAACGGAACACUUGAACACCUUUAAUAAAAUUAUUGCGGAUUUGCUCAGCAUUAAUGUCAAGGUUGACGAGGACAAUAAGGCGUUGAUUUUUCUUACAUCACUUCCGUCGUCCUACAAUCACUUAGUGACCACCAUACUGUACGGGAAGCAAACUCUAAAGAUGGAAGAUGUUACAUCGACACUUUUAUCUGAAGAGAUCAGGUUGCAGGCGAGUACCGAAGAUAGCAGUGUAGGUUUGGUCGUAAAUGAUACAAGUGGAGGAAGGGGACGAUCUAGCGAACGUGAUGUAGGUAAAGGAAGAUCCUGUUCCAAGUCAAAAUCGAAAAAGGUGAAGUGUUACUUCUGCAAGAAAGAGGGCCACGUGAAAAGAAACUGCGAGAAGAGGAAGGUUUGGCUGCGAAAACUAGAUUCCUCUGCAGAUACGGCGAGCGUAGCUAGCGACACUAGUCAGGAUGUUUUGACGGUUUCUACAGGUUCAGAAUCUCUCAAUGACUGGAUAUUGGAUUCGGGUUGUUCUUGUCACAUGACUCCGGACAAAUCUUUAUUUGAUACUUAUAAAUCUUGUGAAAGCGGUAGUGUUAUGAUGGGCAAUCGCACUAGCUGCAAGAUGGUCGGUAUCGGAACAGUAAAAAUAAAGAUGUUUGAUGGUGUGGUUAGAACGUUGACGAAUGUGAGACACAUUCCGGGUCUUAGAUUGAAUUUGAUAUCGCUUCGUACUCUUGACUCUAUUGGUUGUUCUAUUAGCAUUUCAGGUGGAGUCGUCAAGGUGAAAAAGAGUGCUAUGGUAGCCAUGAAGGGAGAGAAGGUGGGGAAUCUGUACAAGCUGAUCGGUAAGCCGGUAACAGCGGAGAAGUCUAGGCAUUCUCUAGACUUCGCUAACCUGCAUGACUGUUAGUGUCGAGAUGCCUCAGGGAGAGGGGGCGAUAAGAUGAGAGAGAGUAAUGAAGUAAAAAAGAAGUCAAGAUGGAGAAUGUUAAAGAUAUACCUUCUUUUUUAUUGGUUUGGUUCAUACAUCGGGUUUAUGAAAAAAAAUAAAUAAAUAGGAUCUCAUAAGGAUUUAUUUUUGGUGGAUCCUACUUUAAAUUGGAAUCGUAGGUGGACUAGGAUUGGUUUCCAUAUAACACUCUAUAUUCAAUAAUCAUAUUGAAUUAGA